GCUUACGGCCAUACCACCCUGAGAACGCCCGAUCUCGUCUGAUCUCGGAAGCUAUGCAGGGUCGGGCCUGGUUAGUACUUGGAUGGGAGACCGCCUGGGAAUACCAGGUGCUGUAAGCU
ensembl:rRNA 5S_rRNA 5S ribosomal RNA